rnacentral:misc_RNA from 1 species
AAGUCGUAACAAGGUAUCCGUAGGUGAACCUGCGGAUGGAUCAUUAUCACGUUUCCACGUAUAAACCAUCGUGCACCCUCUUACCUCUUGGGGAGACGAGUUCGUGUGGCAGAAGCAGAUGAAUUCUUUCUUGUGAUUUAGAGUUCGCUUCUACCACCUCGAGUAACUUCGUACUUGUUUCUCCUUGAGUGUAUUUUUUAAAUCACUUUGAUUAACAAUUUGAACCCUUUCUUUAAACUUUGAACUGACUUAUUUCUUACUCUUCGGAGAAGAAAUUCAUUACGAAAUUAAGAACAACUCUUAGCAACGGAUAUCUUGGUUCUC